UGAAUGUAUAGGGGUGUGGGAGGUAACGCGGGGAAGUGAAACAUCUUAGUACCCGUAGGAAGAGAAAACAAUUGUGAUUCCGUGAGUAGUGGCGAGCGAAAGCGGAGGAGGCUAAACCGUGUGUGUGUUCAAGCCGGCAGGUGUUGCAUGUGCGGGGUUGUGGGGGCCUUGUGGUUCUGCUGCCGCAGGAUUGGCCAGUGAGAAAUGUUGCGUGAAGGUGAAGCGUCUGGGAAGGCGUACCGGAGUGGGUGAGAGUCCUGUAACUGUAAGCGUGGCACUGGUGUGGGGUUGCCCCGAGUAGCGUGGGACUCGUGGAAUUUCGCGUGAAUCUGGCGGGACCACCCGUCAAGCCUAAAUACUCCUUGGUGACCGAUAGUGGAUGAGUACCGUGAGGGAAGGGUGAAAAGUACCCCGGGAGGGGAGUGAAAGAGUACCUGAAACCGUGUGCCUACAAGCCGUCGGAGCCUGUCAGAGGGUGACGGCGUGCCUUUUGAAGAAUGAGCCUGCGAGUUAGCGUUGUGUGGCGAGGUUAACCCGUGUGGGGUAGCCGUAGCGAAAGCGAGUCCGAACAGGGCGUUUUAGUCAGUGGGGGUAGACGCGAAACUUUGUGAUCUAUCCAUGGGCAGGUUGAAGCGUCGGUAAGACGACGUGGAGGACCGA
rnacentral:rRNA from 1 species